rnacentral:tRNA from 1 species
GAAUCAGUAACUUAAUUGGUAAAGGACUCUCCUGUCACGAGAGUAGAUAUCGGUUCGAGACCGUUCUGAUUCG